rnacentral:rRNA from 1 species
UACGUAGGGGGCAAGCGUUGUCCGGAAUCAUUGGGCGUAAAGCGCGUGUAGGCGGUUCGGUAAGUCGGCUGUGAAAGUCCAGGGCUCAACCCUGGGAUGCCGGUCGAUACUGCCGGACUAGAGUUCGGAAGAGGCGAGUGGAAUUCCCGGUGUAGCGGUGAAAUGCGCAGAGUAUCGGGAGGAACACCAAUGGCGAAGGCAGCUCGCUGGGACGUUACUGACGCUGAGACGCGAAAAGCGUGGGGAGCAACAGG